rnacentral:rRNA from 1 species
AUUGAACGCUGGCGGCAGGCCUAACACAUGCAAGUCGAGCGGCAGCGGGAAAGUAGCUUGCUACUUUUGCCGGCGAGCGGCGGACGGGUGAGUAAUGCCUGGGAAAUUGCCCAGUCGAGGGGGAUAACAGUCGGAAACGACUGCUAAUACCGCAUACGCCCUACGGGGGAAAGCAGGGGACCUUCGGGCCUUGCGCGAUUGGAUAUGCCCAGGUGGGAUUAGCUAGUUGGUGAGGUAAUGGCUCACCAAGGCGACGAUCCCUAGCUGGUCUGAGAGGAUGAUCAGCCACACUGGAACUGAGACACGGUCCAGACUCCUACGGGAGGCAGCAGUGGGGAAUAUUGCACAAUGGGGGAAACCCUGAUGCAGCCAUGCCGCGUGUGUGAAGAAGGCCUUCGGGUUGUAAAGCACUUUCAGCGAGGAGGAAAGGUCAGUAGCUAAUACCUGCUGGCUGUGACGUUACUCGCAGAAUAAGCACCGGCUAACUCUGUGCCAGCCGCCGCAGUAAAAC